rnacentral:rRNA from 1 species
GGCAUAGACAGCUAGGAGGUUGGCUUAGAAGCAGCCAUCCUUUAAAGAAAGCGUAAUAGCUCACUAGUCGAGUCGGCCCGCGCGGAAGAAGUAACGGGGCUCAAACUAGGAGCCGAAGCUGCGGAUUUGAAUUUGUUUUCAAGUGGUAGGGGAGCGUUGUGUAAGCCUGUGAAGGUGUGUUGUAAAGCAUGCUGGAGGUCUCACAAUAGCGAAUGCUGACGUGAGUAACGAUAAUGCGAGUGAAAAGCUCGCACGCCGGAAGAUCAAGGGUUCCAGUCCAACGUUAAUCGGGGCUGGGUGAGUCGACCCCUAAGGCGAGGCCGAAAGGCGUAGUCGAUGGGAAAUCGGUUAAUAUUCCGAUACUUGUUUAUAAUGCGAUGGAGGGACGGAGAAGGUUAUGUCAGCCUGGCGUUGGUUGUCCAGGUGAAAGGAUGUAGGUUUAUAGCUUAGGUAAAUCCGGGCUAUUCUAUACCGAGAUCUGAUAGCAAGCUGUACUUGUACAGCGAAGUGGCAAAUACCAUGCUUCCAGGAAAAGCUUCUAAGCAAUAGUUAUAAACGAAUCGUACCCUAAACCGACACAGGUGAUCAGGUAGAGAAUACCAAGGCGCUUGAGAGAACUCUGCUGAAGGAACUAGGCAAAAUGGUACCGUAACUUCGGGAGAAGGUACGCUGUUGAUGGUGAUAGGACUUGCUCCUUGAGCUGUUGGCAGUCGCAGAUACCAGGCUGCUGCAACUGUUUAUUAAAAACACAGCACUCUGCAAACACGAAAGUGGACGUAUAGGGUGUGAUGUCUGCCCGGUGCUGGAAGGUUAAUUGAUGGGGUUAGCGUAAGCGAAGCUCUUGAUCGAAGCCCCAGUAAACGGCGGCCGUAACUAUAACGGUCCUAAGGUAGCGAAAUUCCUUGUCGGGUAAGUUCCGACCUGCACGAAUGACAUAAUGAUGGCAGCGCUGUCUCCAGCAGAGACUCAGUGAAAUCGAAAUCGCAGUGAAGAUGCUGUGUACCCGCGGCUAGACGGAAAGACCCCGUGAACCUUUACUACAGCUUUACAUUGAACUUUGACCUGACUUGUGCAGGAUAGGUGGGAGGCUUUGAAGCCGAGACGCUAGUCUCGGUGGAGCCAAUCUUGAAAUACCACCCUGGUCAUGUUGGGGUUCUAACUCAGGUAUAACAAUACCGAGGACAAUGUAUGGUGGGUGGUUUGACUGGGG